UACGUAGGGGGCAAGCGUUGGUCCGGAAUCAUUGGGCGGUAAAGAGCGUGUAGGCGGCCAGAAAAGUCCGCUGUGAAAACUCGAGGCUCAACUUCGAGCUGUCGGUGGAAACUUUCUGGCUAGAGUCCGGAAGAGGAGAAUGGAAUUCCUGGUGUAGCGGUGAAAUGCGCAGAUAUCAGGAAGAACACCCGUGGCGAAGGCGGUUCUCUGGGACGGUACUGACGCUGAGACGCGAAAGCGUGGGGAGCGAACAGG
rnacentral:rRNA from 1 species